UGGUGGCAAGAGGUCUAUGGGUGAGGAGGAAGCUUGGGAAGAGGAGGAAAUGGCUUCUUAUGGUGAUGAAAUGGAGGGAUCUUUGGGAUGGGAGGGAUAGGCUUGUAGAAUACUGGUGGUUUAGGUUUCUUGAAUAUUGGAAUAUGAGGUGGAAGUGGCUUCUUGAAUAUUGGAAUAUGAGGUGGAAGUGGCUUCUUGAAUAUUGGGAUCAGUGGUUUCUUAAAAAGUGGAAUAGGAGGUGGAAGUGGUUUCUCAAAUUUUGGAAUCGGCGGCGGCAAUGGUUUCUUGUAAAUCGGAAUAGGUGGUGGAAGUGGUUUCUUGUAAAUUGGUAUUGGAGGAGGCAAUGGUUUCUUGUAAAUUGGUAUUGGAGGCGGAAGUGGCUUCUUAUAAACUGGUAUCGGCGGUGGAAGUGGCUUCUUAAAAAUGGGUAUUGGCGGUGGAAGUGGUUUCUUAAAAAUGGGUAUCGGCGGAGGAAGUGGUUUCUUAAAAAUGGGAACAUGAGGAGGGUAAACUUUGGGAGGCAGUGGAGGAAACACUUUAGCACCAAAGAACAAUGGCUGAUCAACUACAUCUUGUGUCUUAUCAUCGCCAUAGCUGAAAGAGGCAGCAAACACCAAAGAAACAAAUAAGCACAGAAGUGCUCCUCUAAAAACAGAGAGAAUUCUCAUUGGGAACUAAUCUUGAUGGCUCCUUAAAGAAAACCAAGGAAGUGAUGGAGGACUUGUUGCAGACAAUUAGCUUCUUAUAUAGUAUGUUAAAGGAAGUGAUAGGACAUAUGACAAGCUCAACUGCACAUAAUUAAGGCCUCAAAUGCUGGAAACAAGUGAAGGCUUAGUCCCAAAGCUAACAUAAAUAUCAUUACAUUAACAUUUUCCUAAUCUGACGGCUGCUUUUCACAUUCAUAAGAGCUCUAGCUCUAUCUAAUUUUAUAAAUAUAAUUAUUAUUAUGUCUCUAUAAUUUAAAUAAAUUAUCAUUGUAUUUUAUAAAUUAAUUAAAAAAUAUUUAUAAGUUAAUUUAAUACCAUUCAAUUUAAGACCGUCUAACCCUAAUCCAUCAAUAAAUAAAAAUUUUCUAACUCUAUAAUUACCUUUCAAACCUAUCUCCAUCUUUAAAGCCUACCUAACUAUCGCAUCAGCUAAGGUGGCAAAUUUUAAUACUCACUCUAUUUUAUAAAUAUAAAUUUAUUUUAAUUUUUCAUUUAUCAUAAUUUUUUUUUAAAUUAUAGUUUAUUUAUUAAUUUAUUAAUAUAUUUAUAUUUAAUAUUUAUUAAAAAAUAAAAUUCAUAAAUUUUUAAAAUAAUUUAGUAAUUUGAGUUGUCAUUGUUUUUUUUUACCAAAAAUAAAAUUACUUCAUUGAAAGAGGAGUACAAUACAAGAACCCAUAAAAAUUAAUCUAAAACAAAAGCACUAAGCCCACACUUGAUCUGCCUAUAAUAGAACUAAACCCCGUAUAAUAGUAAAAACCCUAGAGAACUGAGUUAAAUCGACUCGAGAGAGCAACUCUGAUCAAGAAGCAGAGUAUCACUGCAUUGGCAUCCUUGCCAGGGAGAUGAGACUAAACACGUUGCUAAUGACUUUGCCACCACUCUCCAACACUCAACAAGGUAAGCGACUCUAUUAAGCAAAAAGAAAGAUAAUCACCAAGAGCCCUCACAGUCGAGAACCAAAAAAUUCAGGGAAACAACAAAGGGCCACAGAAAAUCAGGGACCAAAAGGAUCUUUAGGCAACUUGGCAAUGCUCCUUGGCAGUCUUAGUCAUUUGAGGGACCGAAUGUUGCACUCACAUGAUGGCAUUAGUGGUGUUCCCAAAGUUACUAUGAUCAAAAGCAAAUAGAAAAUUCGAAGAUCCCAGAGGAAGAGGUCGAUUCAACAUCAGCGCAGCCUGAAACUCUUCCAGAAAAAGGCUUUGGGACUUCCCAAUACUCCCAUGUAGAGUGGAUAAUCUUUUAUAGAGCACACUUGCAAGACAAAUAAACAAACCAAAAGAUAUAUAAAAAUUAAUGAAAUUUUUUUUUAUGUUUUAGAAUGAAAAUUAAUGAAAAAAAUUAAUGUAAAAGUAGAAUUAAAUUUAUGUUUUAGAAAAUUUUUUUUAUAAGAAUAAAAAAUUUAUUGUAUAAAAAUUAAUGAAAUAAAAAAUAUAUAUAUCCCAUAUGAAUUUCUAUAUAUAACUUAACAUAAUAUUUUAAUUGUUAAUCUAAUAAAAAAAUAUGUUCUUAAUAUAUGUAAUCAGAUAAUAUAUAACAAAGUAUUAAUAUUCAAUUUUAUUAUAUAAUUAAUUAUUCACUAUUUUUAUACUAGAGAAUAUUUUUUUAAUAGAUAUAAUGGUAACAUAUAACAUCAUAUAUUAAAAUUAGAAGUUUAUAAAUUAAAAGAUAUAAAAUAUAUUUAUUUUUUUAUUAUUUUUAAUAAUAUCAUUAAUACUGGUCACGGUAAAAAUCUUUAAUUCAAUUCAAAUUAAUAUAACUAAAUAAGUCAAAUUAAAAAAAAAGGUGACGUUUUUUUAAAUUUGUUAAAAGAGCGGGAGGUACAUAUUAAUUUUAAAUUAUAAAAUAAAAAAAUAAAAGAAAAUUUUAAAAUAAAAUAAAAAUAAGGUGGGAAUUGCCAUCUUCAAUUACAUGUUGCUUCGCCAGUGGCUUCAACGAGAGCAAUCCCUGCUUCUUAGCCCUAUUUCUAGUCUGCAUGCCCAACUACAUAGGCAUGAAUAAUGAACCAAAUUAACAGCAAUAGCGGCGACAAUCUCUUCCCAACAAGUUUCUAAAAUAGUGUUGAACUUGCAUUUUCCUUUGAACUCGAGAUGUAAGGCUAAAAGGAUGAAAAAGGUCAGAACAAGCAUACAAGUGAAUGGUGUGGCUGAGGCACAGUGUUUUUCUUUUUUCUUUUUUUUUUUUCUUUUACCAUAUCACUAGGAAGACUCACUUUGAACUUUCCUUCUUCAUCAAGCUCAACAGAGAUCUCCUUGUUUUGAACUUUCCAUUUUCUACCUUGCAAUCAGUUGUUACAUGAAGCCCAGCAACAAAUCAAUAAUGCAUAAGAUAUCAUCUUCAAAAUAUAGUGCAAAAUCAUAGGUUAGCACUCUUUAACAUUAUCCAAUGAGCUUUCACACAGUGGUGCGAGUGAGAUAUCGAGUUUAAAUUCUAACUAAAAAUAAUAAUAAAAAAAUAAUGAGAUUUAACUCGAUAAUAUUAGUCAUUUUCAAAAUUAUUAAGUUCUCAAAUUUAUAUUAAAAAAAUCAUGAAAAGUUAUUUAUGAGUUCGAAUUUAAGUUCAACUUAAUUUUUUUUUUAAAAAAAAUUAAAGCUAAUCCAUAUUAAAAUUAUAAUUCAUGAUUAGAACUAAUAUGAUAUUUGUCUCUUAAUUUGGAGACAACUUUAGUUUCAAUGUUAGAUAAAUAAAACUUUUACAUAUGGAGAGAUGAAUUAGUCUCGUGGUAGGCAAUGGUGAUAAUUUAAAAAAUUAAAGACAUUCAUUCAUAUAAAUAGAAAUGACUCUCAAAAUUAUCCACCGAUGACCGUUGGCUUAUUGACACCCAAGUCUCAGUCGAAUCCUUAUAGGAGAAUCAGAUCCAAGACCUUCAGAGUCCACUACGCAAGCUGGCCCAUAGCAUACAAUCAAGUCUAUGAUUGAAGCAGGCCGGCUGACCAGGGGCCAGACUUAUCAAGGAGGAACUCAGCUCAUCUGAUGUGAUGGGGUAGGAGAGUAAACGCAGCUAUCCACGACUCUAUCAGCACUAGCGUCGGAAUGGAAUUAAAUGACUGUUUGACGAUGUUAGGCAAGUAGGUAUGCCCGUACGUACAGUUCUGUAUAAUAGUGACAGGUGAUACUCUAACAGGGCAAUUAUACGUCAGUAGAGAAUAAAGGAAAAAAGAAUUAAAAGAGGGAGGUCUGAACCAUUCAUGCCAAAUUUACUAAUUCAUAUUAAAAUCCUAUUUUUUUUGAAUUUCAGAUUAUCAUCCAUUAAAAAUUUGAGAUGCUAGAUAAUUUUUAUCAUUUUCUAAAUGAUUUCUAUAAUUUUAAAAGUCAGUCGGUUUUAUUUUUUUAUAUAAUAUUAGUAGAAAUAAAGGAAAAAUUAAAAAAAAAAAUUUUACAAAAUAACAAAUAAUUUGGGAUAAAACAACUUGAUGACAAGAGUAUAUACCUAGAAAGAGCAUACAUAUGAUUCAGAAAAAAAAAAUAUAUAUAUAUAUAUAUAUAUAUAUUUUUCCUCAAAGUCCUAUGAUUCAGAAUAUUUUCAAUUCCAUCUUGUGUAUCUCCUAAAUAGAAAUGCACAUAGCUGAAAGUGCCUGGCUGGUCUUAACGUUGCUUCCUUCACAGUCUGAACAUUCUCCUAUUCUAACUACUAUGCGGAGUGCUCCUCCCAAAAAAAGGAAGAAUCCGCAUUGGAAACCACACCAAUGCCCUAGCCUCCUGAAAUCAACAACACCUCACAAAAUUAAAGCCAACCUAAAUUAUUUCAUAUAACUUUUAUAUAUAUAAAACUAUAUAUUAGUUGUUAUUAUAAGGAAUGGAUUCGUAAAGCAAUUAAGCACACCCUGCGAUGCCCAAGUACUUAUUACAUGAGGCUGUAUAUGGACCCUAUGAGAUAAGCUUGUUUACGGUUUGAAUAUGACAGUAACGUGCACAUACCACCUUCUUCAAAUCAAAGCAUUAUCUUUCAUUCAAUGUGCUCUCAACUGUAAAACCUACUUAUCAUUUCCUCAUUAAUAUACUUUACCUUUAACAUACCAUGAAAUGCUCAUACUUGAAGGCAUGCAACAAAAAAAUAAAAUUAUACCCAAAUUUUGAUUUGACUAAUUUUUUAUUGUUUCAAUUUCUAUUCGAUAUGAUUCUCAAUUUUUCGGUUCAAUAUGAUUUCAGUUCUAAUUCUUCAUUCUUCAUAUAAAUUUAUACAUUUUUUAUAAAAAAUUAUAUUUAUUUAUACUUAAAUUAUCGUUUAAAUUUUAAAGUUAGUUAUUAAUAUAAAUUAUAUGAUAUAAUACAUAUUUAAACAAUUUACAAUUUAUAUAAAGUGUAUAAAUAUACAAAAUUAACCAUGAAAAUGAUAAUAUAAUUAUAUCAUUUAAUAUAUAUUUUAAUUACAUUUCUAUUAUAUUAUUUAAGUAACAGAUGACUAAAUAUAUUAUAAAUAUGGUAGUACAUUUUUAAUUAAGCAAGAUAAAUAAUUUAAUAUUUUUAUAAUCGAAGUUAUUAAGAAAAUGUAUAUGAAUAUAAAAUAAUCAUAGUAUGUAAAUUGUUCAUAAUUUUAAUGUAUAUACACAUAAUGUAAUAUUAAUGCGUAAAAAUAAAUAUAAUAUUAUUUAUAGUAUAUAAUAUAUCUAAAAGUUAUAAAAAAAAUAUGUGUAUAAAAUUAAAUUUCAAUUUGCUAUGAAUUCGAUAUAAUUUUAAUUAAGACGGUCCCAAAAUAAAUAUAAUUUUAAUUAAUACAGUCCCAAAAUAGUUUUAAUUCGCUUUUUCAUUGAAGAAGUAGAAUUAAAUCCAAACUAUAAAAUCAAUUUGAAUCGAUAUAAUUUUUAAUAUUUUCUUAUCAUUUUUUUAAAUCGGUACAAAACUCAACGAUAACUCAAAUAUAUAGUAAAAAAGGGAAAAAUACUGGUCGCCGAAAAAACAUCAAAAUUCAAAUAAAAUUAAAAACAUUGUAAGAUAAAUAUUAGAUGGACGUUGAAGAAUGAAGAUAAAUUACAAUGUGAUUGUGAGUACAAUGUAAUUAUGUAUGCCAUUUUGUCAACCAAAAAUUAAUUAGGUAUUUCGAAAAAGCGAAAAUAAGUUGAAUUAAAUCUCCAUAUUUUUUAAGGAUUAAAUAAGUUUAAUUAUUCAAGUUUCUAUAUUUUUAUUAAGAGUUAAAUAAAUCUUAAAUAAUAUAAUAUUAUUUUUUAAUAAUAAAAUAUUAUUUUAAUAAUUUAAAAAUAAAAAGUUUAGUACUUUCAUUUCUAUAAAAAUUUAAAAAAUACAUAGAUACAAUAAAUAAUUUUUAAAAUUAUAAAAAUAAAAUUUUAUCAUAUAAAAAUGUUUUUAUUAUUAAAAAUAAUAUUAUAUUUGAUGAAAACUUAUUUAAUUUUUGAAUAAAAGUAUAAGGGUUUAAUUGGUCUAAAAUUUUGAAUUUGACUAUUUGGCUCUUAAAUAAAAGUGUAGGAGUUUAAUUUGACUUAUAUCCAUUAUAGUACUUGAUGUGGCUAAAACGAAACUAUACUGCGAUUGAUAACUCAUAAAAAAGAGAAUAUGAGGUGG
rnacentral:lncRNA from 1 species